AUUGAACGCUGGCGGCAGGCCUAACACAUGCAAGUCGAACGAGUGGCGGACGGGUGGGUAAUGUCUGGGAAACUGCCCGAUGGAGGGGGAUAACUACUGGAAACGGUAGCUAAUACCGCAUACCAUCGGAUGUGCCCAGAUGGGAUUAGCUAGUAGGUGGGGUAACGGCUCACCUAGGCGACGAUCCCUAGCUGGUCUGAGAGGAUGACCGGCCACACUGGAAUUGAGACGCGGUCCAAACUCUACCGGUAGGCAGCAGUGGGGAAUAUUGCACAAUGGGCGCAGGCUUGAUGCAGCCAUUCUGCGUGUAUUAAGAAGGCCUUCGGGUUGUAAAGUACUUUCAGCGAGGAGGCGUUACUCGCAGAAGAAGCACCGGCUAACUCCGUGCCAGCGGCCGAGGUAAUUC
rnacentral:rRNA from 1 species